GCAAAAGCUUCUCACUAGUUUGGGGCCUUGGAAGUGCAGUGAGGCAGCGAGCGACGCUCUGGGCCGUCGAACCACAACCACCUGACCUGAACGCGGAGCAAUCAGGGCAGUUCUCAUGGCGCGUGUCACUGUUCGGCGCCGUGCCGCGCAGGGCCUCACCCAGAGAUGCCAACUGGCCGCGGCAUGGGGAACCGGUGCCCGUCCAGUCUUGCGCGGUCGAACGGGACGCCGACCUGGGAGCAACCAGACCACCCCUUGCUCACGGGCUUCCCACUCCCGCGCGGGCUGGGCGCCGGCAAAGGCUGGUCGCCGCCGCCGCCGCCGCUCCUGCCGCCCUUCCUCACGAAGCUCAGCAGCUUCUUGAGCCCCUUGGACAGCUCCCUGUGCGAAUCGGCCGUCGCUGAGACCGAGAGCGUCGCCGUCGGCCUCUCAGGGCUGCCCCACCGCUUCCUCGGCCGCGCCUGUGGCGACGGCGAGGCCAGCGCCGCCGCGUCGAACGGCAGCUCCGACACCGACCGCACGUGGCGCGGCGCGUGGGCGUGGGCGUGGGAGUCGCCGAGCUCCUGGGGCAGCGGCGGCCUCGGGGUCGUCAUGGCCACGUCGAUGGCCGGCAGCAGGUCGUGCACCCGCGCCGUCCGCAGCCUGGCCGGCGCCGCCGCGCC
rnacentral:misc_RNA from 1 species